GGGGUUGUGGCUCAGGGGUAGAGCGUUUGCCUCAUAUGUAGGAGGCACUGGGUUCGAUCCUCAGCACCA
rnacentral:tRNA from 1 species